rnacentral:lncRNA from 1 species
AAAAAAAUUACAAUGAAUUUUAAAGAAAUUCUUUUGGUGGAAAUUGAUUACUUUAUUAUAAGAUUGCACAACAUUUUUUUUUUAUGUAUAUUUUGACAAAAUCAUAUUUUAGAGCUUUUUUUACAAUCAUGAUUGUGCAAUUGAGAUACACAGUCAAAAUCAUGUAGUUCACGUCCAUGAUUGUGCAAUUGAGACACACAGUCAAAAUCAUGUAGUUCACGUACCAAUCCAGAAAUUUAGCACUUAAAAACAUUUUGUACAUAAUAUACUGAAUUUCAAAUUUUUUGACAAAGCCA